rnacentral:rRNA from 1 species
GCCUGGGAAAUUGCCCUGAUGUGGGGGAUAACCAUUGGAAACGAUGGCUAAUACCGCAUAAUGCCUUCGGGCCAAAGAGGGGGACCUUCGGGCCUCUCGCGUCAGGAUAUGCCCAGGUGGGAUUAGCUAGUUGGUGAGGUAAUGGCUCACCAAGGCGACGAUCCCUAGCUGGUCUGAGAGGAUGAUCAGCCACACUGGAACUGAGACACGGUCCAGACUCCUACGGGAGGCAGCAGUGGGGAAUAUUGCACAAUGGGCGCAAGCCUGAUCCAGCAAUACCGCGUGUAUGAAGAAGGCCCG